rnacentral:lncRNA from 1 species
ACAGGCAGAAUUGGCCAAUCUCGAGGAAGGUGGAGGUGGAGAUGAGGCUUUCUUCAUGGAGGAGGAUGAGGAUGAGGAUGAUCACCAUAGAAGGCAGAAGGCCUCACAUUCCCGCCGUGUCAUGGAAGCCGUGGGUCAGAUAGCCAAACCAAGACGUGUUGCAAACCUCGAUAGAAAAAGGGAAAAACGAGGUAAAAAUCUAUUGGAAGAUUAUUUUAUUCCCAAUAGCAUAUUCCCUGAUCAUGUUUUUAGACGGCGUUUUAUUCCCAAUAACAUCUUCAAUAAGCUUCCACGAAGACAUUUUUUUCUCUCAAAUUGUAGAAAAUAUUGAUAUGUAGAAAGUGUAGAAAGUGUAGAAAAUAUUGUAAUGUGGUGUAAAGGUGGAAGAUGAGGGUUAGAUAUUUAUAGGAAAAAUAUAAAUUUUUUAAAAUUUUUCUGUAUUUUUUAAAAAUUUUCUGUAUUUUUUAAUAAUUUAUAAUAAAUUUUAAUUUAGUUAAUUAAUCUGGACCGUUGGAUUUGAAAAAAAUUCAAAUCCAAUAGCUAAGAUCACGCCACGUGGCCAACGGUAAAAAAUCUGACCGUUGGGGCCUUUUAUUUAAUUUUUUUUUCGUCUAAAACGUGAACCGUUGAUCUGUGAUCAAACGGUCCAUUUUAAAACUAAUUUUUUAAUUUUUUUUACCGUUGGAAAUCCAACGGUCUAGAUAAACUAGCCAUUGGAAAUCCAACGGCUCAGAGAUUGCCUGGGACGGGACACAAGUGGGCUGACAGCCCCACCUUUUCCUUGUCGGCUACUCGCCUCAGCUCCCGCGUGUCGUGCACGCGCCGUGUAUUUUGCCCAGUUCCUGGGUCUGUCCGAAACAGGCUGGGCUGGCGCCUGGCUUGGGCUGGGUGCCAGUCAGCUUUGUGGGGUGGAGCAAAUGGACUGAGGAUUAGUUUGAUUUUUGGACUGGGGGCUGGGACAUUUGGAAUGGGGUGGAAUUGCUCUAAGCAGUGGGUGGAUUCAGUAUAUGUUGACAGCUCACUUGUGCUGGUUCCUUCUAGUGAGGACACUUGGUCCCCUGCAUCCUAUUCAUCACUUUUACCAGAUUCCUUAAGGGCAUUUAUGAAAAUUUGCAGCCAUGGCCCGCGAGAACAUCAAUGAAACGUCAGCGUGUUCGUAUCAUGAAAUUUUUCUUGGUCUGCAUCUUUUUUUCUUGGUCUGCAUCUUUGAUAAGGGAGUGAUAGCUUAAAUGUGUUUGAUCACGUCAUUUCAACGACAUUUUUGAAAACGGAAUGGUCCCGUAAAAUGUUUGAUCACAUCGUCUUUGAUAAUAUUCAAACUUAUUUUUGUCAACAAGUAGAAAUCAAACUUAGUUGCAAAUAAACGUAUACUAACACGACUAAGAAUGCUUAUGACUUUGCACGCAGAUGAGUACAAAAGAAUGGCCACACCGAUCUGGCAAGAAUCGACUGCUUGUCAUGCGUCAAAAAUACAAUUAAAAAGUCAAAUAUCAGUUGAUUGUGAUCCCUAGUGGGUAUAUUUUAAUUUUUUGUGGCAUAAUUUGCAUAUGAACUUCCAACUGUGUACCCAUUUCUUGGAAAGAAAGUUGUAAACAUGGUGGAGGGGCUCACUUUCAACUUUUCAUUUGAUUCAACGGGUGCGUUGAGUAGAUAUUUGAUUCAACGCAAGCAUAUGCUGUAAUAUACCUGCAUAAAAUAUAGAACAUUUUGAUCCCAAAGCAACACACAUGGACAGAUCCAAUGAAGGUUCAUUGGAGUCAGAUGUCUUUAUUCAAGUAAUUCGUUUGUUUAGUUGCAAACUACAAUUAUGUAAUAUACACGGGAUAUCUUUGAACAAAAU